UUCUAAUACAUUAUGAUUCGAGUCCCUCUCUGUGUGUGUUCAGAGCUGUCUGAUAAUCAUUUGCAGAUUUCGUCCAUCUCCGAGACUCAGGCGAGUCAGCCUCUUCUGUCUGUCGGUUUCACCAUCAUCUCAUCCCCUUUAUUCUCCACCGACAAUCCGAAUCUGGGCACAAUCUUCGUCUCCUACAAAAAAUAAAAAAUCGGUUUCGUCUGAUCGCGAUGCAUGCUCUCAAGGACAAGGUCUCGCAGAAGCUUUCGAAUCCCUUCGCCGAUUCCGCUAGUUCUCCUGGCUAUUCUCUCACCGAUUCUCCAAAGGCCAGGCUAGAUUCAAGUUCUCGGGGAAAACAUUUUCUUCCUAUUUCCCAUUUGGUGUUCGUCAAUCUGGAAAUGAGAAUGAGGAGGAGGAGUCUGAAUCAUGUCCUCCCAAACAUGGAAAUGGGAAACACCAAGCUGCGACAAUGAUCUCGAGUGGCCAAGACAAGGACAGUGAGUUACAUGUUUCUGUCAAAGUAGAAAGCGAUUACAAUGAAGGGGUGAAGUAGAUAGCAGAGUUAACAGAAAGCUCUGCUUUUAUCUCUGCUGACUUGUUUGAGUUCUUGCACUCGUGUCUUCCAAACAUCGUAAGAGGUUGCAAAUGGAUCUUGUUAUAUAGGUGCCAACCGAUAUUACUAUAUGUGAAUGAAUGAAUUAUUGGCGUUUGGAGGUGGGGGAAGCUUUGCUCUAUGUUUAGACGAAGAUUUGUUGAAAGCAACAAGUGGGCCUUCUGAAACAUUUGGGAACGAAUGCUUGGCUAGCAGCACUGAAUUUGAGUUAAAGAAUGUCGAGCUCUGGGGAUUUGCACAUGCGUCUCAAUACCUCUUCUCAUGAACUUGAAGAUCCCUUUCUUGGUCGAGAAUCGAUAUACCUCAAUAGAAAGCUUAUCCAUCUUUUUAAUUCCGUUAAUUGUUUCAAAAGUUAUGAAUAGGUUUUGUACCUGUGUUACUGAGACUACUAAUUCAGCUGUGAUAUUUUUU